UGGAUCAGUCGGCUCCUGGUUCGAUUAAGAACGCAGCAAACUACGCGCAGAAUUGUGAACUGCAGGACACAUGAACAUCGACGUUUCGAACGCACAUUGCGGCCCACGGAUUUUGUUCCCGGGCCCCGCCUGGCUGAGGGCCGGC
rnacentral:rRNA from 1 species